UUCCCGCUCCUCCCGCCCCAGUCACUGGACAACCUGGCCCGGCUGCUGCUGGGUUCUCCACAGCACGGCCCUCCCCUGGCCUGGGCCUUCUCCUUAGGGAACCUUUCCCGGUCACUGGGACUCUAAUCCUUGGGCUCUCCCCACCCCAGGACCGCUCUUCUCCGGGUGACCUUCCCGCCCCGGGAUCUAUCUUUGACAGGUGAUCACUCCUGACUGACAGCUCAAAGGCUGUCGAAGGUUGCAUGGCUGCAUCGUGCAUGCAUUAGGUGGCUGAAUAAGGAGUCUGCAAGCAGAGACCACGCGAAGCCAGGCCAACGGCAGCUCUACGACUCCAGUUUCAAUGGCCCCAGCUACCGCUCCUGUUCCGCUCUGGCAGCGGUUCUCCAGGUCCACGCGCAUCAGCGUCUCCUUCUCCAGCUGUUUCUUGGCCACGGCGUGACCAUCCUCUGCCUGGGGGACACAGCAGUGAGCUGAGGGGCGGCUGCCACUCAGCCUUUCCACGUCAACCGGGAGCCCAGACCCACCUUCGCCAGCUGUGCUCGGAGCUCUGCCACGUCCUUCUCCAGCCCAUGCUUGUCGCUGAGAGCGGAGGCCAGCUCUGACUCACUCCGGUGGAACAGGGACUCCAGGUCCUUCACGCGGCCCUGGGCCACUGAGAGCUCACCUUCCCGCUUCUUGGCACUAGGAGGAGGGUGAGGGGUCAGGGAGACCAAGCACAACAUCACCACAGUCCCUGCCAACUACAGGUUGACCGCCUGCUUUCCCAGCCCCUGGGAGGCUGAGGCAGGAGAGAGGCUUCAAGUUUGAGGCCAGCCUGGUCUACAGACCCUGUCUUAAAAACAACACUAGCCAACUCAACCCAAGCCAACCAAACUCUGGACAUUGUGGCCCAUGUAACAGCGUCCUAUCUGUUAUGGCUGAAGGCGCCCACACCCUGCCCAGCUGCACACAGAAGCCAGCUCUGGGCUGGAGAGACGGCUCAGCGUCAGCAGGUGACAGGCAGGUGUGGAGAGAUAGGUGGCACCGGCGGCUAAGCUGCCAUGACUCUCGGGGACACCAGGCUGCUCCCUACUGUGCUGCCUGAGUAAUUAAGGACGUGGGACACAGAGGGACCCCGCCCCAGCUUGUGUCAAACAGCCCCGUCGCUCUGUCAGUGAGCCUGGAGAGGAGCAUCGGGUGGAGUCACACUCAGAGAGCCCAGACAGGCAGCGAGGAUCAAGGCGGCCUGAAGAGAAGUGGCGAGGAGGCGGGGCCACGGCCGGCAGUGCCAAGGCCCUGGGAUGCGGCACGUCAGAGACCAGCAAAGAGGCCCAAGAGGGACGAGGGGGACCUGGGGAACUCCUAACGGAUCCCAAAUGCCAAGGCUCCACUGAAUAUGGCCUGCAUAGGCCUUGGUGCCUGUCUCCCAGACUGGCGGGGCGCUAGGGCAGAGCCUUGGUGGAGUGUGACGACUCCCAGAUCACCGUGUGGGAGCACUUGAGCUGCUUAGCAGCCCACGAGGCUACCCGAGGGCAUCAGGAUUCCGUGCACCAGAAGGUGAGUCUGCAGGAUGUCAGGAAAGCCAGCCUCACUAUUUGAUGCCAAAGGUCAAGGUUAUCCUUGGCUACAUAGAGAGUUUAAGGCCAGUCUGAACCAGAGAACCCGGGAGCCAGCCUGGGAUACAUGAGACCAUCUCAAAUAAACAAACGAAUGAAUAAAGCCAAGACUGGGUACUGAGGUGGCUGGCACAGAGGUGCUAACGGCUCACCCACCUGUGAUGUAGCCUGGUGUCUGUGGACACCCGCAGGCCCCAACACACCAUGGGGUAGACACCUGGCAGCCAGCUCAGGCGCUACCACCAGAGAACCAGGUGGGUCGCCUCGCAGAGGCCAGACCUGCGUUGCCCAGAGGGAGUCUGGACGGGGCAGAACUCGGGUAGAUCUGGAAGGGGACCCUUCUGAGACAGGCAGGUCCCACGAGCAGCAGACAUCUUGGUAGAGCCACUGGGAGGGCUGGCAUGCGGGGACCCCCUCGCCCCGACCUGCUCUGAGCACUGUGAUGUCUCCAGCAGAGGGAGGACCUGAAUUCUACACUUAGCACAAGCCAAGGCAGCCACUGUGCCACGUCAACAUUCUCGUGGCACCAUCCUGGGUGAACCUGCAGCCCGGCACAGUGUCCAGGGCAGGUUAGGCACAGGGAGAUGGGAGCAACAGUCAUGCAGGCUUAGGGGAGCAGUGACGGAUCCUGGGCCUGCAGGCUUAGGGGAGCAGUGACGGAUCCUGGGCCUGCUAUCCCCCGGGAAGAGGGGUCUCGCUGCUAUCCCGUGGCACCCAUGGCCUUGACAAGCGUAUGUAUGUGUGAGGCCAUUUGCAGCAGCUGCAGGCUGGUGGACUCGGGGACUCCAUUCCAACCCCAUGCUCAUGCUGCCCCCAACCUCCGGGGCCCUGUGGGGCUACCAAGUAUACCCAAAGGGCUAGGACCUGUGCAGUCUCAGUCACUGACCUUUCUGAUUAAAUCUGAUGUGUGCUCUCCUGCUUA